CGGGGGCAACCCUGGCGGCGAGUGGCGAACGGGUGAGUAAUACAUCGGAACGUGCCCAGUAGUGGGGGAUAGCCCGGCGAAAGCCGGAUUAAUACCGCAUACGACCUGAGGGUGAAAGCGGGGGACCGCAAGGCCUCGCGCUACUGGAGCGGCCGAUGUCAGAUUAGCUAGUUGGUGGGGUAAAGGCCUACCAAGGCGACGAUCUGUAGCUGGUCUGAGAGGACGACCAGCCACACUGGGACUGAGACACGGCCCAGACUCCUACGGGAGGCAGCAGUGGGGAAUUUUGGACAAUGGGGGCAACCCUGAUCCAGCAAUGCCGCGUGUGUGAAGAAGGCCUUCGGGUUGUAAAGCACUUUUGUCCGGAAAGAAAACCGCUUCUCUAAUACAGGGGCGGGAUGACGGUACCGGAAGAAUAAGCACCGGCUAACUACG
rnacentral:rRNA from 1 species